AUUUCUAUAUGGGAGCUGGGAUAUGUGAGCAUAUGUGGAAAGUGGAAUGACAGCCACCGAAAAUGGGAAAUGCUUCUGGAUCCCAUAGAACAGAUACAAUGUUAUGUCACAGAGGAAGGUUGAAGACAUGAUGAAUGUUUGGGCUAAAUGUCUCCUUUGGAGUAGCUGAUAAUCACAGAAUAUCCUGACCACAAAAAUCAUUGAGUCCAACCCUGGGCUCCACACAGUACCACCCAAAAUCCAAACCCUACAUCUGAGAGUUGUCCAAAUGCUCCUUGAACUCUGGUAUCUUGGGGCUGUGACCUGGGGAGCCUGUUCGAUGCCCACCACCAUCUGAUGAAGAACCUUUUCCUGACAUCCAACUCGACCCUCCUCAAACACAGCUCCAUGCCAUUCCCUUGGGUCCUGUCAUUGUCAGUUAGAGAACAGAGUUCAGCAUUAUCCCUUCACUCUCCCUCUGGGGAGCUGUAGGAUGCCAUGAUGCCUCCCCUCAGCUUCUCUGCUCUGGGCUGAAAAAACAAGGGACUUGAGCUGCUCCUCACAUGUCUUGCUCUCCAUAGCCUUCACCAACUUUGUAGAACUUCCUUUGGACACUCGCCAAUAGUUUUACAUCCUUCUAAUAUUGUGGCACCCAAAUCUGCACACAGUGAUGUGAGAUCACCACAGUGCAAAAUAUAAUGGAACAAUCCCUUCCCUUGAUUGCCCUUAUAUCUGUUUAUUUGUGUUAUUUCUUUACGUGUCUUAGAUUGAUCUAAUAUUUAGCUUAACCCACUAGACAGGGGACCAUAAUAUGUAGAUACUUUUCUUUUCCUUGAAAAUGUUCAUUUUCUUUUUAAUUAAAAAUGUAAUCCAAUGCGUAUUAUUCAUUCCAGAUAAAUUUUUGCAAUGUAGACUGAGAAUAUUGUGGAAUCAAUGGAGAGAAACACAUAUUUCCAGGCGGUAAUUCAUCUAGCUGACAUAGAUACUUACCUUUAGAGGUGGUUAAUGUUUCAAAAUUUCCAGUUUCCCUCAAUGGAUAGUAAAAGAUUCUAGAUGACAAGCUUAAAUUUGAACUUCAUUUUAGUCAUAGAUGUCUAAAGUCCCAUUAGUCGUAUCUUAAAGUUUCUCUCUCUGUAUGGAAAAUACAGAAGACUGGAAUGAAGGGCUGGAAAUAAGGAGUUUCUUAUGACCAGUAUUAUUUUGCUUAUCUGAUUACAUUUUUUCACUGUUCAGUUUUCUGUCACUGUACAAUAUGUACAAUGUCUCUUUAAAAAAAGAUAGGCCUCGUUUUCACAGUGAUAAUUUUAUAAACCUAGCAAAGUGAUCACACUUUAACUAACUAAAGCAUUAUUUACACUCAUAUCACAGAGCGCUGAUAUUCUAUCCUGAAGUAUGUUAGAUAAGGGCAUUAUUUGUUAGGUCCUCUAGAGGCAAAAAGGAUGUAGUUGUUAUCAAUAACAUUUUCUUUGGCAAAACAUUAGACAGAAAAUAAAUACAAUUUUACUUAGCAUAUAUAUUAAAAUCCCAUAUAUAAAAAUACACUGAACGUGGUAAGAAAAACCAACACAUGCAUCCAGGUUUGGCCUGGACCAAACCUCAAAUGUAGUAGUUGAAAAGCUGAAAACAAUAGUGAAAUAGUGAAUAGUGAAACAAAAAAUUUCCUCAGUGGCAGUAUAUUUCUAACUAUUUUUGUAUUCAGACCAACUUCAAGGGAAGCUGGAUUCAGUUCUGAGGUCUUCUUGUAGGUCAUUUAUGAAAUAGUCAAUGACUUUUUCCUUAAACUCAGUCCACGGUUUCUCAUGCAUACCAUCUCUCCAGUAACUUCAUGCAAAAUUUCAGAGGUCACACAGGAGUGAAGUCACUUUAUAAAUUGCAAUCUGGCACUUUAGACUUCCAGACUGAUUUUACUGGCAUAACACUACAAAAUCAUACAAGUUCCACUUGCUUAACUGCAAAGCAUCAGCCAGAGAAGUUGGCUGAUAUUUUGCCAAUGUAAAUCCAAUUAUUCACAUUAAGAAUUAGCAAGCAGGUUGCCCUCAUGAUAGCUAGGACCCCAUCUUGUAAAUUCUUGAAAAGAUUAAAUAUAUGCAGCUUGCAUUUAUUCUACUUCACCUCACAUUUUAAUUUUUCAAUAUUACAUAUUAAGUAGGAGACAUUUGGCACUUUAUUUGCAAAAAAUUAUUUUGUUUGAAUUGUGUCAUGUUUAUUAUGACAGUAUAUAACAUCAAGCUUUAUUUUGUGUGGUAGAUUUACAACAUAAUUUAAUGGUGGAAUUUCUAAUGGAGUCUCACAUUCAGUGUUUCUCUUUUUUUUUCCUAGUGUUUCUCACACCCUGGUUUUAAGAGAUAACUUGUGGGUGUUGAUCCAUGGGGCACGCCUGUGCUGAGCAGGGAAAUGGAAUUCCUUCUUUGCUUAAUUGCCUAAGUAUGUACAAAACAUCAGUGCACAUUGUGCUUAGUGAUAAUUUAAGAUUUAAGAGUUGUUAUAUAACAUGAAUUGCUGUGUGAGACUGGACCGUACUAAUUGAACUGAUUGCAUAAUUAAUUGGAACAGAACUGAAUUGUCUGUAUUACCUGCAUUUUGAAUUUCUGAAUUUGCUCUGGAUAUUUUGGAUGGAUAAUUUUCAAGCUAUGUGCUGUUUGUAGACUGUCACUUUUAGCUACUGCAUUCAAGAUUUGAUCAUUAAUCAUGAGAUACAGUUUUCGCUUUCCAAUUGCAUGACUGAAGCCUUUCUGCAAAUGAAGAUUUUUUUCCUGUAUCAUGUACUUUGGGUAUAAAAUUUUAAAGGUUUUUGUACAUUUUUUUGAAAUUACAUUUUAAUAUUCAUGAAUAAUGUAUAUUAUGAGUAUAAAAACAAUGUACUGAGUUCAAGCUGUAUGUUAUUUUGAAGUGUUUUGUGGAUCUUUUCCCAUCAUUCUUCUUUAAUUAAUAUACUUAUAUCUUUAAAGUGGUGGUCAUGUCAAAAAUAUUUGAGAGGUAAACAUAACCUACCAAGCAAGAAAUAAAUUUGCAAACAUCUUUUGGUGUUAUAGAGUAUCUGGAAAAUGAAUAGUAAGCCCUUAAACACUGACAUGCAAUAACCAUCUCAAUAUGUCCCUGGAAAACGUGUCAGAUGGGACAAGUAAUUAGUAAGUGGCAUGAACAAAGAGAAAUCACUCCUAGUUAAGUAGAAUAUUGUAAAUAAUGGAUUUUAUUCAAACAAGCAAGGAUCUGAAUUACUAUAAAGUAAACAUCAAUUAUUCAUUUAGUUUAAUAUUUUAUUGCAUCCCUCAUAAACAUUUACAUUAGAACAGCAGUGAGCAUACCCAAGAGAUUCAGACUAAGCAAACAAGAUCCUCUUCUUCCUAAGCUUACAGGCUGACUGUCCAUCACCAUGUAAGUUCAGGAUGAAAUAAGUUGAAAACUGUAUGACUUGCCAAAAAUCCAGGUAAUGCCAACUGCUCCAUCAUGCAGGAAGCCAAAAGAAUAUCUGAAAUUAUAGUGACUUGCUUAGAUUGCAAUCUCUGGUAUAAUAGUCUCAUCUGGAUGGUAUAUAUAUUUGUCUACUGAAUGAGCAGCAUGAACUGAGUCAUAUAAACACCUAUGUUUGACAGUUUUGAAGAAUCAGACUGAGAGGCUACUGAAUUACAGUAAUUUUACUGUAAAAGAAAUGUGUCUUACACUACAGAAUACUGACAUCUCCAUAUUUAGAGUAAAAGGAUCUAGUCUUAGAUGAAGGCAAAAGUCUAUGUGCAUGGGUGAUGUGCUCCUGAAAAGCUUCCAGGAAGGAAAGCUCUACCAAAACCUAUUUUCCUACCAUUACCAGAGCUCUGGUUUCUCAGGAUUAUUUCUGAGCAUAUUCAGGGUCACUCUUUGUGGCUUUAAGUUGCCAUCUUCUCUGUUUACAUCGAAGGUUGGAGAUAAAAUAGAAGUAUCCAAGGCAGCUUAAUAUAACCUUGUUCAGUACUGGAAGGUACCUUGCAGUGGCAGAUUGGAAAUCCACAAAGCCUGAUUUGCUCUGCUUUUUAUUUAAGGUUAGUUACAGUAUUUCUGAACUGUAAUUCAGUUGGCUGGCUGUGCAGAUAUACAGUCAACCAAGGUAUUAAGUCAUGGUUAUUGUCAUAGUUAUGCUGUGCAACAUGUACAUAUAAGCUCUAAGAAACAGACUUAGGCACAACAUUCAUAUAUCAGAAGUCGUUAAAUAGGCAUCAUGUAUCAGCAAGGUUGUAUCUCUAUCAAGUAUGAUUAGAAUUUAGGUAAUACUGAAUACCAUACUUUAUUUAAACAUUCUAUUUUAAAUUUACAGCACGUUUUGUGGAUGCAAUUUCUUAAUUUAAUACUUUCUCAGCAAUUUUUUUCAAGUUUCCUGACUUCUGAUUCAUGCUGUAAUACAUGUGAUAUAAUUCAAAAGAAAAAUAAACUGAAUUGAAAGAGAAUCCAUCUUGAGUGAAAUCCUGAACCAGACAUCUUGAGAAUGAGAGUGUAAGAUUAUGGCAGUCUUAAACAAUUGUUUUCUCAUAAAAUAUUCCUUCCAGAAUAAUUUGCGAAGCUAUCUAGAUAAGCUACCUGAUUUGACUCAAUAUCUGGCUUCCAGGAUUGAGGGUCAGGGUUUCACAUUGUAUUUUGGAGCCUAAUGUUGCAGAGAGGUAUUCUGGCAGAUCCUGCCAAGUCUUGAAGUGUGUAUUUCCAAGUACCUGAAUUUAUGAAAGGCUUGAUUUUGCACAAGUAUUAGUGACGUAUAUUGGAGUACAGUAAACUUAAAAUAAUCUCUUCACUCUGAGUUGAAAUGCUCAGCGGAGCUCUAGAUCUUGCAUCAGUCAGAUAAACAAGAGAGCUGGAUUCUGCACUUCACCCAUUCACUGUUCACUGGCUAAGAAUGAAGGGACAAUUAGGCCAACAGUGUGACUAGAAGCCGAAUGAUGUGGGGGUGUCUUCUUUUCCAGUAUUUUGGAUUUGUCUGUUUAUCCUAUAUGAACAAUUUCUGAGAAUGUCAGCACGUGAUUUUUUUUCAGAUUUUAAGCUCUAUGCUGUGUGUAAUGAUUAUGGUUACAUGUGUAAUGAUCAUUACUUGGCAAUAGUCUAUCAUGACGGAAAAAAGAAAGAGACAGACAUGGAAAGAGAAUCUACACUAAAGAACCACCUCUUUCACUUAAUUCACAAGAGAUCAGAUGUCAAGUGGACACUCAAAUAUUAAACCCACUUUAAAAGCUGGUGUCUGCAAUACACUUUUCCUCCUGGGACUGAUUUUGCUGUUAUACCAUUUGAAUAGGAGAAAUGUCCAUUGUGUAACACUUUAUAAUUCAACUGUUCUAAAAGGCUCUUGUGAAACAUUGCAUUGCCAGAAUUUUAUUGGAACACUUAUACUUGUACAAAUGAAAAGAGUAAAGAUUUCACAGAAAUAAAAUAUGGCAUUGAAAUUCUGAAGUUUGAAAACUUUGGAAAGUGGGUACUGUCAGUUCUCUAUGGGUAUCUGAAGAUAGAAAGAUACUCUUUCCCUGGGGUAUCUUAUGUAUUAAAUCAUAUGAAGUGGCAAAUUAAAAAAAAACAAGGCUUUUUCACUUUUAAGACAGUGUCAGUGUCACCAGAACUCCCUCUGGCAAUUCACAUAAUCCAGCCAGGUCUGAGUAAGCCUUUUUCAUUGGAAAUCUCACCAAGUAUUUUUGUGCCUCCUGCAAACUUUCUCCAAAGCUAAAAUCUGUCCAAGAGGAAAGUAAUCUUACUUCACAGGAGGUGAACUGACAAGUGUGCUACUAUGCCUGUAGUACAAUGUAGUGUGUUUUUCUCCCUCGAUGAAAUGCUCCCUGGGUACAAUACUGUGUUAGAUUUGAAAAGAGGGAAUGAAAGAGUCAGCCAGUCUGACUGUAAGGGUAGGAAGAAAAAGAAAAGAGAUGCACCUCACUUCAAAAUGGGAGGUGGCAGGAAGAUGGAUGAACUGCGAAAGAUGAAUUUGUGAAGGGAAAUGAGUUUUUUCAAGAUGAGUGACCAUGCUUUCCCUUUCAUCUUGCUCACUGACUUCUUUAGGAUCAUGCUUUCCAAGCUCAGGUGACAGAUGAAACAACGAGUGUGUGAACUCCUGGCUGGAGGGUCAAGAAGGAGUGUUUUUCAGAGUGAAAGUCUGGAGGGCUGCACCCUAGUAUUUCUGCAACAGCUAGCAAGGAGGUGCAGUCUCACUUGGAUCACUUUGGCCACUGACUGGUAGUGGCACUGCAAUAGAUGUGAAUGGCGGAUAUGGGUUUGUUGAUCGAAGGUUCUCUACAGCCUCCACUGAUUCUUCUGUGAAGGCAGAAGCUUUGCUGUAACUAAAUCAAGCUGGAAGGGAAAAAGCAAGAGCAGUGAUGUGGUGACUGGGACUUAGUAACUGGAACUUCACUUCAGCAAGCUAUUGGCAUGUAUCUGAAUACAAGCAUUCAGUGGUUUGUUCAUUAUUUCAGUAAUGGGCCCGAUAAUAGGAUAGUUCUGAGCAACCAUGCUCUGGGUGGUAUUGCCUGAGAGGGGUUUGACAAGAUGGCCUCCAUAGGUUGCUUUAACCUCAGCCAUUCUGAGAUUCUGUUAGUCUGGGAAGAAUCCCUAAGACUUGGUCUGCCUUCCCAAUUCUGUCUCUUGGUGGGUGAAAGUGACAGAACAACGUUACAUUCUUUUCAAAGCUUACAAUACAUAAUGCAGGUGGGAAUUGUUCUUGUUCUUCUGUAGGAUUAUUUAGUAAAUUCAUUUGUGAGGCAAGCUGAAACUCUUCCAUGGUGAAAGCGCUUCUGCAUGUAUAGAGAAUUAGUAUUUCAAAAAUAUAAACUGUACUUUGUAUAAAACUAGGCUCUUGUGCAUAAUUGUAUUAAUUUUGGCACUAUAUGUUCAAGGACAAGCAUGCCAACUCAGUAUUCCUGGAAUAAUAAAAAUAAA